rnacentral:lncRNA from 10 species
CAUUUGUCUGAUGGGACUCACAAUGCCUAUCUUGCAGGAUAUUGGGAGGGUUAACUAAAACUAUGGACGUGGAGUACCUGGUAACUGAGGCCAGCACGCUCGAGAGGAUGCCUGUCUCCAUCAGGCUGACUAGGAUGAGUAGUGGUCAUGAAUAUGGAUGAGAAGAAAGCAAACCUCUGGGGACUGGCACAGAGCUUAUCACACUCCAGGGACUCUGUGAAGAGGAAGAUACUGGGGCAACUUCUGAUUGGUUUCAGA